rnacentral:rRNA from 1 species
UACGUAGGGGGCAAGCGUUGUCCGGAAUCAUUGGGCGUAAAGGGCGCGUAGGCGGCUUAACAAGUCACUUGUGAAAUCUCCGGGCUUAACUCGGAACGGCCAAGUGAAACUGUCAAGCUAGAGUGCAGAAGGGGCAAUCGGAAUUCUUGGUGUAGCGGUGAAAUGCGUAGAUAUCAAGAGGAACACCUGAGGUGAAGACGGGUUGCUGGGCUGACACUGACGCUGAGGCGCGAAAGCCAGGGGAGCAAACGGG